GGUUCAGGACGAACGCUGGCGGCGUGCUUAACACAUGCAAGUCGAACGAGGAUAUGCCAGAGGAGAGCUUCGGCAGGAAUCAGGCAUAUUCGAGUGGCGGACGGUGAGUAACGCGUGAGCAACCUGCCCAGACAGGGGGAUAACACUUGGAAACAGGUGCUAAUACCGCAUAAGACCACGGUAUCACAUGGUAGUGGGGUAAAAGGAGCAAUCCGGUUUGGGGUGGGCUCGCGUCCGAUUAGAUAGUUGGUGAGGUAACGGCCCACCAAGUCGACGAUCGGUAGCCGACCUGAGAGGGUGAUCGGCCACAUUGGAACUGAGAGACGGUCCAAACUCCUACGGGAGGCAGCAGUGGGGAAUAUUGGGCAAUGGGCGAAAGCCUGACCCAGCAACGCCGCGUGAGUGAAGAAGGCCUUCGGGUUGUAAAGCUCUGUUAUAGUUGACGAAGGAAGUGACGGUAGGCUAUAAGGAAGCCCCGGCUAACUACGUGCCAGCCGCAGC
rnacentral:rRNA from 1 species